AUGCUAGCCCUUCACGCGAUUGGUCUUCCUUGGUUGAGUCGCCGCCCUCGCUGCCACAUCGUGGACGCCCCGAGGCAGGUGGUCAACUUCGGGUCUGGUCCCACCAAGCUGCCUCACUCAGUAUUGUUAGAGAUAAAAAAGGAAUUAUUGGACUACAAAGGAGUUGGCAUUAGUGUUCUUGAAAUGAAUCACAGGUCAUCAGAUUUUGCCAAGAUUAUUAACAAUACAGAGAAUCUUGUGCGGGAAUUGCUAGCCGUUCCAGACGACUGUAAGGUGAUUUUUGUGCAAGGAGGUGGGUCCGGCCAGUUCGGUGCUGUCCCCUUAAAACUGAUUGGCUUGAAAGCAGGAAGGUGUGCUGACUAUGUGGUGACAGGAGCUUGGUCACCUAAGGGGUGCAGAAGCAGCCAAGAAGUUUGAGACUAUAAAUAUCGUUCACCCUAAACUUGGGAGUUACACAAAAAUUCCAGAUCCAUGCACCUGGAACCUCAAUUCGGAUGCUUCUUACGUGUAUUACUGAGCAAAUGAGACGGUGCAUGGUGCGGAGUUUAACUUUAUACCCUAUGUCAAGGGAGCAGUGCUGGUUUGUGACAUGUCCUCAAACUUCCUGUCUGAGCCAGUGGAUGUUUCCAAGAUUGGUGUGAUUUUUGCAGGUGCUCAGAAGAAUGUUGGUUUCAGCUGGGGUCACCGUGGUGAAUGUCUGUGAUGACCUGCUGGGGUUUGCCCUCUGAGAGUGUCCCCCAGUCUUGGAAUACGAGGUACAGGCUGGAAACAGCUCCUUGUACAACACGCCUCCAUGUUUCAGCAUCUACGUCAUGGUCUUGGUCCUAGAGAGGAUUAAAAACAGUAGAGGUGCUGCAGCCAUGGAGAAGCUUAGCUCCAUCAAAUCUCAAAUGAUUUAUGAGAUUACUGAUAAUUCUCAAGGAUUCUACGUAUGUCCAGUGGAGCCCCAAAGUAGAAGCAAGAUGAAUAUUCCAUCCCUCACUGGCAAUACCAAAGGAGAUGAUGCUUUAGAAAAAACAUUUCUUGAUAAAGCUCUUGAACUCAAUAUGUUGUCCUUGAAAGGGCAUAGGUCUGUGGGACGCAUCCGGGCCUCUCUGUAUAAUGCUGUCACGAUUGAAGAUGUUCAGAAGCUGGCCGCCUUCAUGAAAAAUUUUUUGGAGAUGCAUCAGCUAUGAACACAUCCUAACCAGGAUAUAUUCUGUUCUUGAACAUACAAAGUUUAAAGCAACCUGGGGAUGGCUACAAAAAGUUAACAAAGUCUUUUUCUCAAAUGAAUAUGUUUAUUGUAGAUUCUUCUUUUUUGAAAGAACAACAGCAAAAGAUCUACAGCUCUGUAAAGCUGGUGGGACCUGAUGUUCACCUUAAUUCUGACUUGAACUGGAAACAUUUUUAAAAAUCUUCUCGUUGCUUUUCUAACAAAUUCUCGCUUAUUUUGCCUUUGUUACUACUUUUUCUAGUUAGAUUCCAAAUUUGCUUGUAGACUUAAUAAUGCAAGUUGCAAUUAAUUAUUUCU